UGACCGCUGGCGGCGUGCUUAACACAUGCAAGUCGAACGAACCUUCGGGUUAGUGGCGGACGAGUGAGUAACGCGUGAGAAUCUGCCCUCAGGAGGGGGACAACAGCUGGAAACGGCUGCUAAUACCCCAUAUGCCGCGAGGUGAAAUGAAUUUCGCCUGAGGAUGAGCUCGCGUCUGAUUAGCUAGUUGGUGUAGGUAAUGGCUCACCAAGGCAUCGAUCAGUAGCUGGUCUGAGAGGAUGAUCAGCCACACUGGGACUGAGACACGGCCCAGACUCCUACGGGAGGCAGCAGUGGGGAAUUUUCCGCAAUGGGCGAAAGCCUGACGGAGCAACGCCGCGUGAGGGAUGAAGGCCUCUGGGCUGUAAACCUCUUUUAUCAAGGAAGAAGAUCUGACGGUACUUGAUGAAUAAGCCACGGCUAAUUCCGUGCCAGCAGCCGCGGUAAUACGGGAGUGGCAAGCGUUAUCCGGAAUUAUUGGGCGUAAAGCGUCCGCAGGCGGCCCUUCAAGUCUGCUGUUAAAAAGUGGAGCUUAACUCCAUCAUGGCAGUGGAAACUGUUGGGCUUGAGUGUGGUAGGGGCAGAGGGAAUUCCCCGGUGUAGCGGUGAAAUGCGUAGAUAUCGGGAAGAACACCAGUGGCCGAAGCCCUCUGCUGGGCCAUU
rnacentral:rRNA from 1 species